rnacentral:lncRNA from 1 species
GUAAUGGUGGUUCUUAAAAUUGGCUAAAUCAUCAGAAUCUCCUGAGGAGUUUCUAAAGUUUAGAUUUCUGGGGUCCCACCGCAGACCCACUAGAUCAGAAUCUCCAGAGGACAGUCUGGGUGUCUGUCUUUAAAAGCUCUGCACAAAAUGUGCACGUAGUUAAUAUUGCUGUGCUGUGCACUGAAAAAUGGUUAAGAUGGUAUAGCGUACGUUACAAGUUUUUUACCAUAUAAAAAACAGCUCUGCAGGUGAGUUCUGAGGAUUUUCCAAGUGGGGACACUACCUGCCUCUGAGUUUUGACAGGAGCCCUCAAGGUUUGAGCACCGUCCUGGCCUCGUCCCAGGGCCCCGAGUGUGAGUCCAUGUGGCACUGCCCAGGGAGCCACCAUCCUACCUGGACAUUGAUCUCGUUGUGCUGCUCGGUGAUCUCCACCACCUCCUGCUCCAGCAGCUCGCGGGAGCGCUCACUGCCCUCUAGGGCCGAGCGCACCUCCUCCAGUUCUGUUUGCAGCAGGCUCAGGCGCCACUCCUACAGGUCGUCCUGCUCCCGCAGCUCCUCAUGCUGCCAGGCAUCCUCGUCCAUCUGGACCUGCAGGGAUUUUUGUUGGUUUUGUCCAUUCUCGUACCACUAGCUCCUAAUACAGUGACUGGACAGGGCAGGUCUCCAGUAAACAAGUGUUGAAUGCAUGGAUCCAACUACGUGUGCUUCAAAGACCGCCCGAUGGCAGAAACGAAGAAAGGGGGACUUCAACUCUAUUCAUGUGUAUUUCUUAAGCCUUUUUGGUGUCUUCACAAGUUCGCUGUUCUUGGCGUGGUCCAGCUGGAUUUCCAUCUCAUUCAGGUCCGUUUCCAUCUUCUUCUUCAGCCAAAGUGCCUCUGCCCAGCCUUUGGCCUCCGCCUCCAGGCUGGCCUGCAAGGACUCAAUUGCCUACCCAUGGUUCUUCCUGCAAGUCCAGGCACAGAAGUCCUUGGCAUACUGGGCCCGCUGUUCAGCCUGUGCUAAACCUCCCUAGAUAAGCGAACUCUCAGCAUCAGCGUGGGUAUGGCCACCAUGUUGUGAAAUUAAAUUGUAUUUCCCCUUAAAGCAUUUAAGUCGGGGAGCAUCAUGCUUUGGGAAAAGGAAUAGAAGGUCACUGUUUACCACAUGUCUCAAUUCAAUUAACGUGCAAAACAGCCCUGCAAGGAGGCUGAGGCUCCAAGAUGACGAAAAAUGUGCUAAAGGUCACCCGUUUAGCCCACAAUGGAGUCAGGAUUCAAACCUAGAUGCUAAGCUCCCUAUUUUUUUUUCAUUACAAAAUGUGAGCUUUGGCUAUACAAGUCAGGUUUCUAUCUCUCUUCAAAAGAACAGUAAUGGAUUGUAUUUAAUAGACAUUCAAUUAUAUUGUAAUCAACGUAAUAAACAUUUCCAUAAAGUCCUC